rnacentral:lncRNA from 1 species
CUCUUGCACAUCACAGGCCAAAUGGCAUGAAAGAAAAACAAGAAUAAACUUUCAACCCAUUCACAGCCAUCUAGUCCUACACAAACCAAAGGGGCCAGUCGAUUUCAAAAUCACCAGCUCAAAGCCAGAUCCCUGCCUAGACUUACAUUUCCCAGUUGCUACUUGCUAAGCAUGUUUGUUAGCCGGUUGGGUAGAAGAAAGUUCAGUUAAAAGUCCUCAGCCGGGGAGGACAACCGAGUCGUCGGUGAGAAGCAAGUGGUGGCAGAGCCCCGCGCCUUCUGUCGCUCCGCUCUGCGGGUCCGGGACCACCCAGCCAUCCCACGCCCACCCGGACGAAGCUUUGGGGGAAUUUCCAGCGCCCCCAUCAAGACUUCCUGUGCCCUUACCCAGACCCAGUUCACCACCGCCGAAAAUGAAAUGGAGAACAAAAUACAAGGUCUGCCUGGGACACACCUGUCUUCCUUGCAAGUAUGGACCUAUCGGAAUGAGAAUGCUUCUACAGUCAGCUUCAGGUCAAUAACUUCAAAACCAAAGGUAGGCUGUGUUCCCAGGGUAGAAGGAAAAUGCAAUGCAAUACAGAAUCCACUUCAGCGC